rnacentral:rRNA from 1 species
CCUGGUUGAUCCUGCCAAUAGUUAUAUGCUUGUCUCCAAGAUUAAGCCAUGCAUGUGUAAGUAUGAACUAAUUCAGACUGUGAAACUACGAAUGGCUCAUUAAAUCAUUUAUAAUUAGUUUGAUGGUAUCUUCUCCUUGGAUAACCGUAGUAAUUCUAGAGCUAAUACAAACCCCGACUUCUGGAAGGGAUGCAUUUAUUAGAUAAAAGGUCGACGCGGGCUCUGCCCAUUGUUGCGAUGAGUUAUGAUAACUCAUCGCAUGUUCCUCAUGCCGGCAACGCAUUAUUCAAAUUUCUGCACUAUUAAUUUUUGAUGGUAGGAUAGUGGCCUACCAUGGUGGUGAUGGGUGACACAGAAUUAGGCUUCGAUUCCGAAGAGGGAGCCUAAGAAAUGGCUACCACAUCCAAGGAAGGCAGCAGACGUGCAAAUUACCCAAUCCUGACACGGGAAGGUAGUGACAAUAAAUAACAAUACCGGGCUCUUUGAGUCUAGUAAUUGGAAUGAGUACAAUCUAAAUCCCUUAAGAAAAUCCAUUUGAGGGCAAGUCUAGUGCUAGCAGCUGCGGUAAUUCCAGCUCCAAUAGUGUAUAUUUAAGUUGUUGCAGUUAAAAAGCUCGUAGUUGGACUUUGGGAUGGGCCAACCGGUCCGCCAAUUGGUGUACACCGAUCGUCUUGUCCCUUCUACCGGUGAUGCGCUCCAGACAUUAAUUGGGCGGGUUGUGCCUUCGACACUGUUACUUUAAAGAAAUUAGAGUGUUCAAAGCAAGCCUACGCUCUGGAUACAUUAGCAUGGGAUAACAAUAUAGGAUUUUGGUCCUAUUCUGUCGACUUUCGAGAUCGGAGUAAUGAUUAACAGGGACAGUCGAGGGCAUUUGUAUUUCAUAGUCAGAGGUAAAAUCCUUGGAUUUUUAUGAAAGACAAACGACAGCGAAAGCAUUUGCCAAGGAUGUUUUCAUUAAUCAAGAAAGAAAGUUGGGGGCUCGAAGACGAUCAGAUACCAUCUAAGUCUCAACCAUAAACGAUGUCGACUAGGGAUUGGCAGAUGUUACUUUAAGGACUCCACCGGCACCUUAUGAGAAAUCAAAGUUUUUGGGUUCCGGGGUAUGGUCGAAAGGCUAAAACUUAAAGGAAUUGAUGUAAGGGCAUCACCAGGAGUGGAGCCUGUGGCUUAAUUUGACUUAACACAGGGAAACUUACCAGGUUCAGAUAUAGUAAGGAUUGACAGACUGAGAGCUCAUUUUUUUUAUAUCUUAACGAAAAUGUGCAUUAUAGAUCAAAAGAAUGUACAAAUACUCAUGGGCAUACCCGCGGCAGACAAAACAUCAAAUGGACAACGUCCAAAAUUCACCCUACUCUAUCUAUGUACUAACAAGCAUCAUAAGGUCAAAAUAUGGGGAUAUAAGGCAUAAAUAACCUUAUAUACCUGUAUUUUGACCUUGCUAACAAUAUGAUCACUAUCCGGGUUUUACUGUUCAAAAUCCACUUUGUUCCUACAUUUCCAUAGGUAGUAUGAAGUAGCUGCAAAACAUAGCUUUUCCAAUUGCAUAUCCAAGACGAUCUUCUGCAUUCCUUCAUAAACCAUUUCAGGCUGCUCCUGAUUGUUUUCAUGGAUCUCCUAAGCCCCGCCCAUCUCUUGAUGUUAUUCCAGACUCCCGCAGUAAAAAGAACAAGCAAAGAACACUGGUUACACAGUUGGCAUAGUCUAUCUACUCCCAAGAAUGAUA